UCGACCUCGGAUCGGGUAGGGAUACCCGCUAAACUUAAGCAUAUCAGUCAGCGGAGGAAAAGAAAGCAACUGCGAUUGCCCUAGUAACGGCGAGUGAAGCGGCAGCAGCCCAGAUUUGGAAUCUGGUCCCCUAGCGGGGCCCGAGUUGUAAUCUGCAGAGGAAGCGUCUGGCGCGGCGCCGGCCUAGUUCCCUGGAACGGGACGCCGUAGAGGGUGACAGCCCCGUGCGGUCGGCCGCCAAGCCUGUGUGUCGCUCCUUCGAGGAGUCGCGUAGUUUGGGAAUGCUGCGCAAAGCGGGAGGUAUGCUCCUCCUAAGGCUAAAUACCGGCCAGAGACCGAUAGCGCACAAGUAGAGUGAUCGAAAGAUGAAAAGCACCUUGAAAAUGGGGUCAAAUAGUACGUGAAAUUGCCAAAGGGGAAGCGCUCGUGGCCAGACUCGCGUCCGGUGGAUCAUCCGGCUUCCCCGCCGGUGCACUCCGCCGGGCUCGGGCCAGCGUCGGUCGGCGCCGGUGCUAAAAGGCGGCGCGAACGUGGCUCCCUCUGGGGAGUGUUAUAGCGCGCCGCGUAAUGUGCUGGUGCCGUCCGAGGACCGCGCUUUUGCAAGGACGCUGGCGUAAUGGCCACUAGCGGCCC
rnacentral:rRNA from 1 species